UACGAAGGGGGCUAGCGUUGCUCGGAAUCACUGGGCGUAAAGCGCACGUAGGCGGAUUGUUAAAUCAGGGGUGAAAUCCUGGAGCCCAACUCCAGAACUGCCUUUGAUACUGGCAAUCUCGAGUCCGGGAGAGGUGAGUGGAACUCCGAGUGUAGAGGUGAAAUUCGUAGAUAUUCGGAAGAACACCAGUGGCGAAGGCGGCUCACUGGCCCGGUACUGACGCUGAGGUGCGAAAGCUAGGGGAGCGAACAGG
rnacentral:rRNA from 1 species